GACGGAGGAUGCAAGUGUUAUCCGGAAUCACUGGGCGUAAAGCGUCUGUAGGUGGUCAAAUAAGUCAACUGUUAAAUCUUGAGGCUCAACCUCAAAAUCGCAGUCGAAACUAUUAGACUAGAGUAUAGUAGGGGUAAAGGGAAUUUCCAGUGGAGCGGUGAAAUGCGUAGAGAUUGGAAAGAACACCGAUGGCGAAGCCACUUUACUGGGCUACUACUGACGCUCAGAGACGAGAGCUAGGGUAGCGAAUGGG
rnacentral:rRNA from 1 species